GCCAGAAGAGGUGCGUUGCCCAGGUAACCGUAUUGGAGGAACCAGUCCGGAGAAAAUACGUGAGGGGGAGCAACGCCGAGGUGAAAAGCGUCUGGUUACGCCCAUCACCGGCCGCAGGGGCUGAAUCCCCUGGGUUGUCACCAGAAACGUUCGCAGUCGGGCGUUUCAUACUCGCCGCAUCAGCGAUGCGAGUCUACAAGGUGGAGCACUUCUGGGUG
rnacentral:ncRNA from 1 species